UCCGGUGUGCGUCCCUUGCUCUACCGUUUCGCUGUUACGGCGGGGCGGCGGUGGCUCUCCUCCUCGGGGCGGCGGCCCCUCUCUGCCCCUGAUCCCAGAUGCGGCGGCGCGGUGGCGAGGGAGGGGAAGAGGCGAGGCGCUCGUCUCCGCCCCUGAUCCCAAAUGCGGCGACGCGGUGGCGGGGGAGGUGAAGAGACGAGAGGGAGAGGCCGCUCGGGUCGGUGGAGGCUCCGGGGGGGCAAGCAGCUUGACGUAGCGGCGGGGUCGGGAGGCGGCGCCUCGGGUUCGAACGAACAGGGGAUCGGAGAAGGUGCGAGGCGGUGGUAGUUGGAAGAGGUGUGGAGCGUCAGUAGCAGGAGGAAGUGCGGAUGGCAUCUCGACUCUGGGCGACGAACCUAAGAACGACCCCACCUGCUCAACGGAGACAGAACCCUCAGUCAACGGUGCGGAUUGAAGACUCAAUAAUGUUCGUAAACGACGAAGGGUCCGACCUCAAUCUACCAUUGUUUCCUUAAUUUCUCGAGUUAACGGUUGCCGUCGUACUUUACGUCGAUGGCUUUAUGUUUGUACCGAUGGUGGGAUACAAUUUGAAACCAACAUUGUCUUAUAACACUCCUGUACAACGAGAACAUUGUCUUAUUAGACCCUCGUUCAAUAUUAGACCCUCAUGUACAAGAAGAACAUUUUCUUGUACCAAUCUCAACAAUUUGAACGUUUGUAACCUAAAAAUUGACG
rnacentral:rRNA from 1 species